ensembl:lncRNA LINC03047 long intergenic non-protein coding RNA 3047
GCUGUGUGCUUUGUUGUGCGCUGUGUUCUACGUGCUCUGUGCUGUGCGCUGUGCUGUGUGCUGAGCUGUGCUGGCAUCGUUCUCACUCCUCCUGGUGGCUGUGGGAGGAUGGACUGUUUAAGAAGAGAUGUGUACCAUUGGCAGUGAGCUGAGAUUGUGCCAUUGCACUCCAGCCUGGACAACAAGAGUGAAACUCCAUCUCAAAACAAAACAAAAAAGAAAUGAAGAUGAAAAAAAUCAAGGCCCAUGGCCCAGUUGAAACUCUUUUGAAUGAAGUGGAGGAGGCAGGAUCUGUGUGAUUUGAGAGUCCAGGCUCUGAGUCAGGACUGCCUCCCGGCAACACACAACAGCAACAAACACAGAGUGCAAUCUUAGGGAAAUGCCAAGACCUUCACCUUGAGCGUGUGCAUGCGCUGCUCUACAGAACCCAGGAGGCGCCUUCCGCCCACCCACAGCAUCACUUCACUGAACAUGGAGUUGGGAAGAGACCUGCGCAAUCGGUUCUUUCUGUUGGCAGGCGCCUCCCCCAGCACACCUCUGGAUAGUUCCCCGUCUUCAGAGAAGAGCUUCCUGCAAUUAUACCGUAGUAUCUGCAGCAGCAUCACCAAAAUGUGGCCAUACUGGAAUCCCUGAGGCGGAGCAGCUGGACCCGAGGGCUCACUGAUUGUGCGGUUGGGAGCGGGCGUCUCGCAGGCUUGCAGAGAUCAGCUUUUGUUGCGCCAGGAGCUGAUGCUUAAUGG